rnacentral:lncRNA from 1 species
GAGUUUUUGAGAAGUAGAAUUUUUGAUAGUAGAACUUUUACAAAAAGCUAUUUGCUAUUUGAUAAUCAUAUUAAUAAAGUAUUUUGGAGAAAAUAAAAUAAUUUUUCGACAUUAAUCAGAAAAUAUUUUUAAAAAAAAUUUAAAAUAUAAUCUUUUUCAAAUAGAUCUUUUUAGCUUUUUGAUAAAGUCAAAACAGUUUUUCGAUAUUUUUAUCAAACACCACUGUAUCACUCCAAAAUAUUUUCUGAGAGUCAGAAAGUACUUUCUAAUAUUCUAAAAGUUUAGUCAAAUAAAAUUUACUCUACUAUAUUCUCAAUAUAACUUUUGAUCCUCAUUUCACAAAAAAAAAAAAAAAAUGGUCGAUGUCAUAUAAGAACCUUGUCAUUAGUCAAUCAGGAGGGCAAUUUGGAUCCGUUGCCCAGCAGAAGCAGGACAUGAAAUAAUGGAUGGC